rnacentral:rRNA from 1 species
CAGAGGUGGCAAGCGUUGUUCGGAAUUACUGGGCGUAAAGGGCGCGUAGGCGCCUUCUCAGUCGGACGUGAAAUCCCCAGGCUUAACUUGGGAACUGCGUCCGAUACUGGAUGGCUUGAGUGCGGGAGAGGGAUGUGGAAUUCCAGGUGUAGCGGUGAAAUGCGUAGAUAUCUGGAGGAACACCGGUGGCGAAGGCGGCAUCCUGGACCGACACUGACGCUGAUGCGCGAAAGCCAGGGGAGCAAACGGGAUUAGAUACCCCGGUAGUCCUGGCCCUAAACGAUGAGUGCUUGGUGUGGCGGGUAUCGAUCCCUGCCGUGCCGAAGCUAACGCAUUAAGCACUCCGCCUGGGGAGUACGGUCGCAAGGCUG